UUGACCUCGGAUCAGGUAGGGAUACCCGCUGAACUUAAGCAUAUCAAUAAGCGGAGGAAAAGAAACCAACAGGGAUUACCUCAGUAACGGCGAGUGAAGCGGUAACAGCUCAAAUUUGAAAGCUGCCAACAGGCCGCGUUGUAAUUUGUAGAAGCUGCUUUGGGUGUCGGCCCGGUCUAAGUUCCUUGGAACAGGACGUCAUAGAGGGUGAGAAUCCCGUAUGUGAUCGGUGCCGUUGC
rnacentral:rRNA from 1 species